rnacentral:rRNA from 1 species
GAACGCUAGCGGCAGGCUUAACACAUGCAAGUCGAGGGGUAUAGUUCUUCGGAAUUAGAGACCGGCGCACGGGUGCGUAACGCGUAUGCAAUCUACCUUUCACAGAGGGAUAGCCCAGAGAAAUUUGGAUUAAUACCUCAUAGUAUAGCAGUUUCGCAUGAAACCACUAUUAAAGUCACAACGGCAAAAGAUGAGCAUGCGUCCCAUUAGCUAGUUGGUAAGGUAACGGCUUACCAAGGCUACGAUGGGUAGGGGUUCUGAGAGGGAGAUCCCCCACACUGGUACUGAGACACGGACCAGACUCCUACGGGAGGCAGCAGUGAGGAAUAUUGGACAAUGGGCGCAAGCCUGAUCCAGCCAUGCCGCGUGCAGGAUGACGGUCCUAUGGAUUGUAAACUGCUUUAUACAGGAAGAAACACUACUUCGUGAAGUAGCUUGACGGUACUGUAAGAAUAAGGAUCGGCUAACUCCGUG